UACCCUUCACUACGGAAUAGUCCCGGGAAACUGGGUUUAAUACCGUAUACGCCCUUCGGGGGAAAGAAUUUCGGUGAGGGAUCGGCCCGCGUUAGAUUAGUUAGUUGGUGGGGUAAUGGCCUACCAAGACUACGAUCUAUAGCUGGUUUGAGAGGAUGAUCAGCAACACUGGGACUGAGACACGGCCCAGACUCCUACGGGAGGCAGCAGUGGGGAAUCUUAGACAAUGGGGGCAACCCUGAUCUAGCGAUGCCGCGUGAGUGAUGAAGGCCUUAGGGUCGUAAAGCUCUUUCGCCUGUGAUGAUAAUGACAGUAGCAGGUAAAGAAACCCCGGCUAACUCCGUGCCAGCAGCCGCGGUAAUACGGAGGGGGUUAGCGUUGUUCGGAAUUACUGGGCGUAAAGCGCACGUAGGCGGAUUAGUCAGUCAGAGGUGAAAUCCCAGGGCUCAACCCUGGAACUGCCUUUGAUACUGCUAGUCUUGAGUUCGAGAGAGGUAAGUGGAAUUCCGAGUGUAGAGGUGAAAUUCGUAGAUAUUCGGAGGAACACCAGUGGCGAAGGCGGCUUACUGGCUCGAUACUGACGCUGAGGUGCGAAAGUGUGGGGAGCAAACAGGAUUAGAUACCCUGGUAGUCCACACCGUAAACGAUGAAUGCCAGUCGUCGGGUAGCAUGCUAUUCGGUGACACACCUAACGGAUUAAGCAUUCCGCCUGGGGAGUACGGUCGCAAGAUUAAAACUCAAGGAAUUGACGGGGGCCCGCACAAGCGGUGGA
rnacentral:rRNA from 1 species